rnacentral:rRNA from 1 species
GACGGGUGAGUAACGCGUGAGUAACCUGCCUUUCAGAGGGGAAUAACGUUCUGAAAAGAACGCUAAUACCGCAUAACGUACAGUUACCGCAUGGUAGCAGUACCAAAGGAGCAAUCCGCUGAAAGAUGGACUCGCGUCCGAUUAGCUAGUUGGUGGGGUAAAGGCCUACCAAGGCGACGAUCGGUAGCCGGACUGAGAGGUUGAACGGCCACAUUGGGACUGAGACACGGCCCAG